GAAUGCUGACAUAAGUAACGAUAAAGCGGGUGAAAAGCCCGCUCGCCGGAAGACCAAGGGUUCCUGUCCAACGUUAAUCGGGGCAGGGUGAGUCGACCCCUAAGGCGAGGCCGAAAGGCGUAGUCGAUGGGAAACGGGUUAAUAUUCCCGUACUUGGUGUUACUGCGAAGGGGGGACGGAGAAGGCUAUGUUGGCCGGGCGACGGUUGUCCCGGUUUAAGCGUGUA
rnacentral:rRNA from 2 species